rnacentral:miRNA from 1 species
GAGGCAGGAGGAUUGCUUGAGCCUGGGAGGUUGAGGCUGCAGUAAGCUGUGAUCGUACCAUUGCACUCCAGCCUGGGUGACAGAGCAAGAUCCUGUCUCA